UCGCGCGUUUUCAAGGGAAGCGUGGAACGACGACGUUUUAGUAUCUCGAGCAGAAGAUAUCUCUGCGUGCAAUAGUUGUAGAACAAAAGAGAGACGGCGGCGCAUCAUCUAGCGAUCAAUCGAGAGAGAGAUAUGAGCAGGCCGGUGUUGCCCUUCUCCAGAAUCUUCAUGAAGCUAGAGCGAGAGAUGGAAACUGUGGUGAAAGUACUGCAGCCUGGACCUUUAGGAAUCAUAGAGCACAAAUUCUCUGGUGAAGAGAUACACAAGGCAAAUGCUACGGUUCAGAGGGCGGUGGAAAACUGGAGACGGAAUGCAAUCCUAGAGCAGACAAGUCCAUUCUUAAAAGAAUAUAUUCAGAAGUGAUGGAUCUGCUCAAACCAUUUUUCAUGGGUAAUCGAACAAUCAAACUUUUUUGAAUACAUAAACUUCUCUCUUCCUCAGCAGAGCUUUUUACCAAAUUUGAAGAAAGGCUCUCUUAGUUUCUUCACCCUCUCGCUCUUUGCGAGAAGUGAGAACCUAUCACAAAUGUGCAGCGCAUGUAUUUCUUUCCUAGUUUUGUUUGUUAUGUAUGUUAUUUGAUAAAGAUAGAAAUGCUUUAUUUGGUUUAGUUUAAAUAAUUACCCGUUUGUGAAGUAUCCAUAUAUCCCAUCUUUCACAGAUGUAAAAUUAUGGAUUCACUGUGUAACGUUGACAUUGAUAAGGUAAUAAGAGUCUGCAUUUGUAUA